UUUCAUAAAUCAUAUGUCGUAUAUAGUGUGCUAACUAGUGUUAUCAUAAUCGACCCGUAGGCCCCUACAUCUCCUGGCCCGUAGGCCAAUAUAUAAAUCUUUAAUCGACAUGUAUGCCCUUACAUCACCCGACCCGUAGGCCAAUAUAAGUAUAAUCGCCCGUAGGCAUAGCAGUGACCACUAGAUACGCACAAAACCAUUGAGUAUACUAUUUCCAAACAUAAGUACAUAUAUCUCAAAAUCAUCUUCAUAGCAUAUAGUCAUCCAUCAUAUAUACUAUAAAGAAGUGUGAAGAAAACAUGUUCAUAAAUAGUAUAUAGUCAUCCAUCAUAUAUACUAGAAAGAACAUUAGUUCGAUAAAAUAUGGUAUUCCAAAAUAUUCUCAGUAUAGCAUGAUGAUCAAUAAGUGUAACUCCAAUUUACUUAUAAAACAUUUCACAAAAUGUAAUCAUUAAAUCAUGCUUUUCAUGUAUGCAUUUCUACUAUUAAAAAAUGCAUUUUAGAAGGAGUCCACUCACAGAUACUCCAUCAUCGUAGAGUCGUACAAAAUAGGAAUGAGGGAAUCGCCGCUAAUUGCACCUAAGCACAUAAAGAGUACAAUUAACAAAACUAUACUCAAACGAUUGAAUUUCAGAAAACGGACGUCAUAAACG
rnacentral:lncRNA from 1 species